GUCGAACGAGUUCUCGUUGAUGAUCGGUGCUUGCACCGAGAUUCAACAUGGAACGAGUGGCGGACGGGUGAGUAACACGUGGGUAACCUGCCCUUAAGUGGGGGAUAACAUUUGGAAACAGAUGCUAAUACCGCAUAGAUCCAAGAACCGCAUGGUUCUUGGCUGAAAGAUGGCGUAAGCUAUCGCUUUUGGAUGGACCCGCGGCGUAUUAGCUAGUUGGUGAGGUAAUGGCUCACCAAGGCGAUGAUACGUAGCCGAACUGAGAGGUUGAUCGGCCACAUUGGGACUGAGACACGGCCCAAACUCCUACGGGAGGCAGCAGUAGGGAAUCUUCCACAAUGGACGCAAGUCUGAUGGAGCAACGCCGCGUGAGUGAAGAAGGCUUUCGGGUCGUAAAACUCUGUUGUUGGAGAAGAAUGGUCGGCAGAGUAACUGUUGUCGGCGUGACGGUAUCCAACCAGAAAGCCACGGCUAACUACGUGCCAGCAGCCGCGGUAAUACGUAGGUGGCAAGCGUUAUCCGGAUUUAUUGGGCGUAAAGCGAGCGCAGGCGGUUUUUUAAGUCUGAUGUGAAAGCCCUCGGCUUAACCGAGGAAGCGCAUCGGAAACUGGGAAACUUGAGUGCAGAAGAGGACAGUGGAACUCCAUGUGUAGCGGUGAAAUGCGUAGAUAUAUGGAAGAACACCAGUGGCGAAGGCGGCUGUCUGGUCUGUAACUGACGCUGAGGCUCGAAAGCAUGGGUAGCGAACAGGAUUAGAUACCCUGGUAGUCCAUGCCGUAAACGAUGAAUGCUAGGUGUUGGAGGGUUUCCGCCCUU
rnacentral:rRNA from 1 species